rnacentral:ncRNA from 1 species
UUAAAUGCUGUGAAAGGAACAAGUAGUGUUCUGACGAUUCCAACAGAGAGCUGCCGGCUGAUGAGAGGCGCAGGAUAGUUAUUACAUGAAUACCUCCCCGAGCUUUGCACCGAAGUAACAGUAGGCUGCAACGUAGGACAUACGUUAUAAUGUCAGGGUAUCGAGAUUUCUGUACCCGGUAAGGUAUCGGAUGUGAGUCCGGUAUGAAUUAAGGUGGUAACACGGCAUAUGUCGUCCUUUAG